rnacentral:antisense_RNA from 1 species
CUUCAGCGAGCCGAGCAGCAGCGGCCGGUCCUCGGGCCGGUCCUGCCCGUAGGUGGCGAGCAGGGCCUGGGCCUC